rnacentral:lncRNA from 1 species
UCCUAAGUCCCUGGAGUUGUUUAAUAUAAAGAAGGUGACCGUUGGAAGCUAAGGAACAAAGCAAGAUCACAUGUGAGGUUAAGGAAGAGAGAGAUUGGCGAGAGGUCACUAUCACCUCACCUGUCCGAGCUCAGCUUGUCUUAUUUGUCUCCAUUGUUUAUAGUUUCUUGUUUGUCUUAGUAUAGCAACUUGUAGUCUAUAUUAAGGAUGUAACCAGGCACAAAAU